rnacentral:tRNA from 1 species
GCCUGGGUGGCUCAGUGGGUUAAGUGUCUGACUUCGGCUCAGGUCACAGUCUCACAGUUCGUGGGUUCAAGACCCGCGUCGGGCU